UUCAAUGCAAACUGUUGUCACAUGUCAAACUGUUGGUCGCAAAGGGUGACAUUUUAUCAACAAGGCUGCAUUUUCAGCAUGUCCGAAAAAUAUAUAUAAAGACAUUGAUUUUAGCAUUGGCAAAUUGGUUUAGUCGCGUAGUGAGGAGCCUAUAAAAACGUUGCUAAAUUCAGAAACAUAUUUUGGGGAAUUCUGAAAUUUAUUGGAAUAAAUGACCAAACUAUAAAACCAGCUAGCCAGCUAUCGGUAAUUGUAGCUAGCUAGCACUCCUGUCAGGUAGCUAUGUUAGAUUACUAGGGUUGCGUUCCACACACUUAAAAAGACACACCCUCGUCCACUUUCCCUCGCCCUAUGCCCUUGGCGUAAUCGCCAUCUAGGAGGACAGUCCAAAUGAUUAGCAAAGCAAGGGAAGUUUUCAAUGUAAGCCCCUCGGCCCUCGUUGUUAGUCGUUAGUCAGCUUUGCAAGUGUACAAUUAUGUUCACUCCGUGGCCUGAAACUCCCCAUAAUUCAAUUCGCAACGAUUGUACAUCCGCUAAGAAAAGUCAGCAAAAAAACAUCAAUGGAGAAGUCAACAUACAAGUGUGAACUACAGGUGAAGUCACUCAAUCCAGUCCCAGAGGCUUGGGGACCAUAGCAAAGAUUCCUGGUGACAGCUAGCUGAAAGAGCUACCCAGAUUCAUAUCGCACGGCGGGAGGGUAAGACACAUUGGCACUGUCGAACAAUAAACAGUGUUCGGGAGGAGAACUGGAAUUAACAGAAUUCCGGGGGCCAUCUCUCGAAUGAAGUAACCCUCCCUGUCCUGUCACCCCUGUUUUUGUUCAUAGAAGUGAAGAUGUGUCUGGCUCUUGCUAAGUGAUGUGUUCUUGGGGAAAGGGUGGGGCUUCAAAUGGAAGCUGUUCGUCUGAGCUGUCUUAUCGUGGGUGACAUAUUCCUGAUACAGCACGUCCUACUUGAGUAUGCGGAGAGUGGUAAUUUGACCCAUGGUUUAGACGAUGAGGAUUUUGUUCCAAAAUAAGCAUAAGAGAUCCCUAGAUCUGGGUAGACAGGAAGUUAGAGUAGAGAUUACAUGAUAACCGACUUCGGACAGUUCUAGGAUUGGAGAAGAGGGUAUCCUUAUAGCAUAGGGGAUCCCACAAAGGUGGAUAGGUUUUCCAUGAUAUGGGAAAACCUGGGAGCACUGUUGAACUUUGUAAAGGUGAUGAAAUCCUACUAACCAUCAAAACUAUUAAGCUCUCUGAUGCAGGCACUUACACCCUCGGACUACAAAGGACGAGGACAGACAUGAUGGGUGUGUUUUUUAUUAAGGUGCUGCCAAAACCAGAGGUCCCAGACGAACCAGAGCCAGACACACUCCUCUACCACCCCUGGACCGAACCUGCCACCUACCACCACUGUGUUAAAAAUACCAUUCAGGUAAUUAAUGUUAGGGACUAUUCGGCUAUUGAUCAAUUAGGCACUGAGACUGGUUUUGAUGGUAGGGACAAUUUGUGGCUGUCUUAUGAGGUACACAGCUAAAACCCUGAGAAGAAAGGACUGCAUUAUUUGUAGUCAUGCUAGACCUGUUCUGGCUACACACCCAUUUGCUGUAGGAGAAGGAGAGGGGUGGUUGUGUAUUCUGAGAAGUUUUUACCAGGUUAAGCCCAAUUCAACCCUCUGUUCCUCUUUGAGCCUUGUGUUUCCUGCAGUACCUCCUCAUCGGGCCUCUUGGGGUGUUAAGGCAUAUGGGGGCAAUUACAGUUGCAUCACGGGUACAGGUAAUGGCAUUGAUUAUGGGAGAUUGCCUGAAGCUGAUUGCAGUAGUAACAUAACCAUUAAUUCCACUUGGCCAGUUACAGGCCUAAACCAAACUAGUGGUCUGGCUGAUGUGUGGUGGAUGUGUGGAGCCAAAAGAGUGCUGAGACCCAUUCUUAGAGGAGAAUGGCAAGGUACGUGUGGUCUGACCAGUUUGAUAAUUCCACUGACCAUUGUUGAUGUUACUGCUGAACAGCUGUUGGGUUCUGUAUCCAGGGGACCUGAAAACAUUCCAUCCCAUGGGAGACAUAGACGUAGUGCUCCAUGGACAGAGGAUGUAGUUGACAUACACACUAACCUGUUGGGAGUGCCAGUGGGGGUUCCUCAUGAGUUUCAGGCCUUGGGUAGGAAUGAUGGACUCUGGCACUUACUACCUAUUAUGGGUCCAGCCAUAGUGGAUGCUAGACAGACUGCAUGGAUUAAUUAUAUCUACUAUAAUCAACAGCGUUUUGUGAAUUACUCCCGUGAUGCACUCACUGGUAUGUCUGAACAGCUUGAGGCCACAUCUGGGGUUUCCAGACAGAAUAGACUUGCCUUGGAUAUGCUUCUUGCCAGUCAGGGGGGCGUCUGCAAGAUGUUCGGUAAACAAUGUUGCACGUAUAUUCCUAAUAAUACCAGUCCAGAUGGUAGUAUAUCUAAGGCCCUUAAUGGGCUUGAUGCACUACCUGCUAAGAUGAGGUCCAUGGCGGGGGUGGAGGAGUCUGACUGUUCAAAUGAGUUGGGAGCCUGGUUUGGUAAGUACACUGGUAUGGUGGUUACUGGAUUUCUGACCCUAAUUCUUGUAUUAUUUGUUAUUGAUGUGAUGUGCUGCUUGCAUCAUACCGUGUUUUAAGAAGUCUGUUACAGAUGUGGUGAAGGCUUCAGGCAUGAUGCCUUUGCUUGAUGCUCCAGUUGGAGAUGCUGAUACGGAAGCAUGCUUUCAGGGGAGGAUGGGACUGACUGAGGAUGACACAUGGUAUGCUGUGGGUGAGGUAGUAGAAUACAUUUUACACCACCACAGUUCCUUGUUAUACAUUUUUAUGAUAGGUUUUCUUUCCAGUAUGUUUGUUCUCCCUGUUGUGAAGGUUUAGAGUCCCUGGGUGGCAAGGAGCCCACCUGGUACAGGAUAGGAGUAGCUGAGAGGACCAGAUGGUUUAUAAUAAUGCUUUGCUCUGCUUUACUCUGUUUUCCAUGACCAAAGUUGUAUCCUAUAUCUUACAUGUCAAUAAACAAUAAAGUUUUAUCCUGUUUUUGAUAAGUGACACCCUUGUGGGUGACAAAAGGGGGAAACAAAAGCAUAUAUCACUUGUCCAUUUUUUCUAUUUUUCUUGGUUGAUUUUUUCUUUUCUGUUUUUCUGUUUUAUUAAUAAUAAACUUUUUAUUAUUUUCAUGAAAUGCUAUUAACAUAUUACUAUGUUGGGACUGCUAAAAUAAAGGAUAAUGAGUGACACCCUAGCGGGUGUCAAAAGGGGGACUUAAAUUUCACACCAUUUUCUUUUGUUCUGUUUUUGAAUGAGCUGUUGUUCUCUUUUGAUAUGAGGGUUGUAAAGUUCCUAGGUGGCUGGUAGCCAAUCUAGUACAUAGUGGGAUCGAAUGGAGGACAUGAAGGUAUUUUAAACUUUGUAACUGUUAUAUGAUUCAUUGCUGAAUUUUUGUUCACACCCUUAGGGGUGUGAAAAAGAGGGAUCGUUGGAUCUUGUGUUUUACAUUAUAGCCAUUACCAUAUAUAUGAUUGAAUAUUAUCUGCUGUUGGCUUGUGUUGAUGUAUGUAAGUGUUUUGCAACAUAGCUGACUUGAAACAUUGUUAAAAGUGUCAGGGCCAGGGGACUUUCUCAUGCUGGAAAAAUACAGAAGGGAGGGCACAUUCAGAGCGUGGGGUUGCGAGAACAAGCGGUCUUUUGUUAGAUAACAGGAGCCAGGUGCGAGAUAACGGUAUGGAGCAUGAGACCCAUCUUUCAGUUUUUGCAGCCAUUUUAGUGUUGUGCGGCUGCUGUUGCAUUCCGUGUAUUCGCUCACUCACUACUAGAGUUAUAACUAAAGCCAUUGACCCAACAAGCCCUUCCCAGAUGUACCCCCUUUUAGGGGAUACGGAACCCGAAUAUGAGGAGGGGGAUCCCGUUGCUUUUACUGCUUUUUGAGCUUCUCCAUUCUAUGUCGUGCCUCUUCUGAAUUGGGAAGAGGGGGCAUGUGGACCAUUCCGCCUGACUUGCCUAGUUUAUGUCACAUCUCUUAGGAGAUGUGAAGAGAGGGAAUCACAAAACCUUUCCUUCUGGGAAAAGUUUUCUUUUUGUGUCUGGAUCUAGUUAGGUUGUGUCACGUCUCUGGGGAGAUGUGAAGAGAGGGAUUUGUAAGGAAGUGCUAUUUCUUAUGCAAAUGACCAGCUUACUGCUAUCACAUUGCUAUAACUGAGACAACGUAUUUUCACAGUAAAACACACACAGCACACACACAUUACACACACUAACUGCCGAGGACACACAGAUAAGACAUACACCCACACAUUGGGAGGAAGAGACACAGCCUUGACUUGCAGACACAAGCACACACACAAUCUCCUUCCUAGCCGAACAUUGUGUGACUGAGAACGACACGACGAGACCCGGAGGAACGACGGACGGCUCAACAGGACCAAUCCAAGAAGACAACACCUCAACUGUGGCCAACCAAAAGACCGGGACUUCCAGACUCAACCCACUUUCUUUACUGUACAUAACAUGCUUGCAAUCUGUUAUCGGGGCUUCUUUCUGCUGGUUCCUUGUGAGCCAAAUGAAUGAGCCCGUAUACGUUGUACCAGAUAUCUUUACUCUGAAUAAACUGUCGCUUGUCAUACAAUUUA